rnacentral:rRNA from 1 species
CUGGGCGGUCAUGCCACCCUGAUCUCGUCUGAUCUUGGAAGCUAAGCAGGGUCAGGCCCAGCUAGUAUUUGGAUGGGAGACUGCCUGGGAAUACCAGGUGCUGCAAGC